rnacentral:rRNA from 1 species
UACGGAGGGUGCAAGCGUUAUCCGGAUUUACUGGGUUUAAAGGGUGCGUAGGUGGGUAAGUAAGUCAGUGGUGAAAUCUUCGAGCUUAACUCGGAAACUGCCAUUGAUACUAUUUAUCUUGAAUACUUUGGAGGUAAGCGGAAUAUGUCAUGUAGCGGUGAAAUGCUUAGAUAUGACAUAGAACACCAAUUGCGAAGGCAGCUGGCUACACAAAUAUUGACACUGAGGCACGAAAGCGUGGGGAGCAAACAGG